GGAUAUGAAGGUGAUCUGGCUUUAACAUCUGUCACCCCAUUGAUCACCAGGGUUGAUUCAGCUGAUCUAGCUGGCGAGGCAGGUGUCCCCUUCCUCCCUCACCACUCUAUGUGAAUCCAUCCUGAAGCUGGUCUUUUGUCAAGGGUAUAUGAGUAGCUGUGUUCCCCUGCUGGAACCUCCAAACAAGCUCUCAAAUAUUUUUCAACAGCUUCAUUGCUACACAUUUAUUUUUUUCAUAAUUGUCCUUCUAAAUUUUUGAAAGGAUAUCCUG
rnacentral:snRNA from 1 species